rnacentral:rRNA from 1 species
UGGGGAAUUUUGCACAAUGGGCGCAAGCCUGAUGCAGCAACGCCGCGUGAACGAUGAAGGUCUUCGGAUCGUAAAGUUCUGUUGCAGGGGAAGAUAAUGACGGUAUCCUGUGAGGAAGCCCCGGCCAACUACGUGCCACCAGCCGCGGUAAUACGUAGGGGGCUAGCGUUAUCCGGAUUUACGGGGCGUAAAGGGUGCGUAGGUGGUCUUUCAAGUCGGUGGUUAAAGGCUACGGCUCAACCGUAGUUAGCCUCCGAAACUGGGAGACUUGAGUGGAGGAGAGGAAAGUGGAAUUCCCAGGGUAGCGGUGAAAUGCGUAGAUAAUGGGAGGAACACCAGUAGCGAAGGCGGCUUACUGGACUGAAACUGACACUGAGGCACGAAAGCGUGGGUAGCAAACAGG